CGUGGGUAACCUGCCCAAGAGACUGGGAUAACACCUGGAAACAGAUGCUAAUACCGGAUAACAACACUAGACGCAUGUCUAGAGUUUAAAAGAUGGUUCUGCUAUCACUCUUGGAUGGACCUGCGGUGCAUUAGCUAGUUGGUAAGGUAACGGCUUACCAAGGCAAAUGAUGCAUAGCCGAGUUGAGAGACUGAUCGGCCACAUUGGGACUGAGACACGGUCCAAACUCCUACGGGAGGCAGCAGUUCC
rnacentral:rRNA from 1 species